rnacentral:lncRNA from 10 species
UUGCAGUGAGCCAAGAUUGCACCACUGCACUGCAGCAUGGGCAACAGAGCGAGACUCUGUCUCCACACAGAGGAACACUUGGCAUCAGGGAGUCUGUUGUCUGACCCGCAACUAGGCAGCCUCAUACAUUAUUUUCACUAAGAGACCAGUGGGGCUGGAAAGGGACUUGUGAGGUGCUAAGUAGCCAGUGAGAGCUUCUGGGUCCUGUCGCAGUUUUGCCCUUUCUUCCCUCAAAAAAAGGUCUCUCCACUUCUCUGUGGGAAAGGCUUGGGCAAGUUCUCUGGUUUCCAAUGAGGCCAGAGAACCUGUGCUGAUCCCUAACAUCUUCACCCAUCGGGGGCAAAAUAAGUAAAAUAAAAGUAAUGUAGCAAAUGUUUUUAUAAAAGUGUUAAUUUAAAUUAACGGACUAUUACCUAUUCUUAGAGCUUUCUCUUUUGUUUUUGGCAUUAAAAUAUCCUUUCUAUUAUAAAAUGAUAA